AUCCUGCCUCCCCGACACCUCCAACGCGUCGCCGCCUCCUGCAACGCCCCACCCUGCCUCACCGCGCGCCGCUGGCCGCCGCCGCCCACCCCGCUGGCGCGCCUACCCCUACCCCGAGUGCCCCCACACCCGCAGCCUUCCACUGCCGGCGACCAGUGGCCUGCCACCGCCGACGACGAGGAACUGCCGGAUCUGGACGAAUCCGGUGGGGAAUGGCGUGUAGGCAGCGAAUCUGGAAGGAAGGCUGCCGGGGCUUGGAGCACGACGGCUGGCCGGCGCGCCAUGGCAUUGGGGGGAGGGGGCGUCCCAUGCUCCGGCCGUUUGUGUCCGCGCGAGGAGCUCACCCCCAAAGAACUCCUCGGGCGUCCUGCGGGCCCAGGCCAGAGGCGGCAGGCCCCAGCGCGGGUAGCCCGCCACGGGGGCAGACAGGAAGGUGUCGAUUCGGAUCACCGUGGUCCGACGACGCGCCUGGCGCCGGCGGGGGACGUGGGAGGGCAGCAGCUCACGGGCGAGGAGUCGAGGCCGGCGCGGGCGGCGGGAGGGGGGACUCGCCGUACCAGGGCUAUGACGUGCAGCGUCUGGCGAGGUGGGUGGACCACGCGCUACCCUUCUCCCUGCUCCUCCUCGACGUCUUCAUCCGCCAGCACCUGCAAGAGAGUUGCUGGUCAGAAGAUGAUGGCGAGUUCCUCAUUCCAAUUGAGUUUAUAUUGUGUAGGUUUCUUCGUAAUGAUUUGGAUUACCGCAGUCAUGUUCAAGUCCAAUGAUAUCUUGCGCAAGCAGACCGCUCUCAAGACUGCUCUCAAGGGCUUGCGCUUCUUAUCUGGUGUAUCAACAUUAUUGUCAUUGUUCUAGCAGGCUACAAGGUUGGGGGAGCGACCCUGCCGUUGUCAUGACGGCUGCUCCUUCUGGCCGGAUCGAGGCACGAAGACCUGUGGGAUCCCCUCCUUCGGUAGGACCUCCUCAUCUGAUUGCACUCUUGCACAAACAGAGAGUGGAGCGCCAGCUUCAGUUUCUCAUCUGAUCCCACUUCUGGACUCCAUGAAUGAAGAGGACUGCAUGUGAUGAGUUAAGGCACAAGAAGAUCUACGACCAUUUUAGCUCCAGCAGUUAGUACACAACCAAUCAACAGUGCAUUUUCACGACCCAGGCUUCUGAAUUCUGACUGACAGGCUCGCAGGCACAGCCACAUAUAAUCUCACGCAUUCAAAAUGCUAGCUACAUGAAAUACGCCCAGAUUUACGAGUAGAAAUCCAAGAUUCCUCCUCUAUGUUCAAUUUUCCUAAUAGGAAGAACCAUACCAACAACCCUUGAACUAGAUUGGUUGAAGCAGCAUACAUACAUAUUCAUGUUUUACAUUUUAAAUUUGAAGACCAAGGCAACUCCCGAUCGAUUUAAUUGGAGGCAUUGCAGUCCAAUUGUUCUAAGGAUUGGAACCAGACGUGUGACUCAAUACUGCUUGGAACAUGUGAGCAAAGUUUACGUACAUGCACCUUCUUGGAUGAUACAACUUCUCUAUGUUUGUACCUCCUCGUCAUUAAAACUUUGCAAACUUUAUGAGUAAAAAGUAAGAAGUAAUGUUCUCACUUCUCUUUUUUAUGACCAUCAUUAUCUCAGUCUCAACAACAUCCAGGAGAUGUACCUACGUACCUACUGUUAGUUCAAAAGCUUUAUUUCACAAGUUGGCAACAUGAUAUUCAGGAUGUUAAGCAGGUGUUAUAGUUCUAAUUUGCCUUCUUCUCAUAAAACUUGGGUCUCAUAAACAGUAGAGACCGUAGCCCGAUGUUGCUCACUGCACACUUAUACUUAUUCUGAUUUCUGAUGGCCUCCUAAAUUUGAAUUAUCGUCUUGAUGCCAGGUGGAGGAUGUCGUGGGUUUGUCACGGCAGAUGUCCUCGUGAAAGGACUUAGUUGUGGAGCCAUCGCUACGGGUUAGCUUAAAGGGGUUAAACCGGACAAAGGGACACGGGAGUUUAUACUAGUUCGGCCCCUUCGAUGAAGGGAUUUGCUAGGAAAACCCAUCUCCAAAAAAAUAGGGCCAAAUUUGAAUUCUAAUAGAGUUGAAGAGACGCAUAGAGCAAGAGACAGGGAUAAUACUUCCUUGUGGGCUUCCUGAGCAGUGGCGGAGCCAGAAAAUUUGUAUUAGGGGGGCCGAGGGAUGUUGAGGCAGGUUAGAGAGGGCCAAAUCAUAUAAAGACAUGCUUUUAGCAGCAAAUAACCAUGAAUUUUGCACUGUUCAUCAGUAAAUUAACUACAAAUCCUUGAUGUUGGGGGGGGGGGGGGGGGGGGGGGGCAGGGCCCCUGCUGGUCCCCCCUGUCUCCGCCACUGUUCCUGAGAAAUCUACAAUGAAGAAUAAGAAGGGUGCAGUAACUAAGUAUGCAUGUCAUAACUAAUUCUAUUGAAAAUAGUUAUUCAGGAAAAUUAAGCUAUAUUGAAAUGUUGCAUGGUUCAGAUAUUGGGUCUAUGAAGAUUUGUUUAUGCCAUAAAAAUGCAUAAAUAAAAUCUCGUGUGGCCAUGUAAUUCACUUGUUAUAUGUCAAGUUCGAGCUCCUAAGAACAGGGUGAAACUGUUUGUUCUGAAGAACAGAUGUCACUGUUCGGGCUCUCUUUUGUUGUACUUUCUAUCCGCUUUCCUUCUUAGCCCCUUUUUGAUAACUUAGUUCGAACCCCCCUCUUUUGGCCCCUCUGAUGGUUAGACUGUUAAUAUCCUUUUAGAUUUCCACUAGGCAGCCUUUGUAUAUACAGAUAUUCCAUUUUAUUGAUUAAUGCUACAAGCCAUGCUUUGGAUUGGCUCAUGACCUGUGUGUUGAUGUCCAUCUUUAUAUUUGAGAACUAAGGGCUCUGUUCUUUUAACCAUGAACCAAUUUAAGUAGCAAGUCCGUUUUUGUUGGUUAGUUGUAUCAUUGUUAUUCAACACUGAGCACUAAUUGACAACCAACCAUGAUCAUUCUUUGAGAAAGCUAUGGGACAUACCUGAAAAUAUGAAUUGUUCGAACAAUGUUGUUAUGUUAUAGUUGUUUCAUUACUUGCAAAGUUGUUUGAGUGGUAUGUUUUUCAACUCUUUAAGCAUAUAUUUAUUUAUUUUGCACCCGUUGCAACGCACGAGCACUUUUGCUAGUUGAACAUGCAUAAGCCAAGCACUAGCGUACUAGCACUUCUUGGGCUGUGUUUUGCCUCACGAGAUCAAAGUGUUGUCUCACGACUUUCAAGGAACCCGUCAGGGGUGGUGCUGCGUGUGGAGCUUUUCUUUUUUUGGUCACUGGUCCUAAAGGUGAUACGACGUGCUGCGACGGAUAACCGACCUCGACUGUGACCACCUUCAGCAUGCGUUCAUGUGUCGGCGUCUUCGCGUUGUCACUCCGCCGGACCGACCCCGGCUCUCAGAUUGUGCGGUCAGAUCGAAAACUUCAGCGGCAGCCGCACACCUCAGUAUGCCGGAUUCACGGCCUAACGCGAAUAACUAGCAGAACGCGUAAAGAUGUGCUACCUCGCGUCGCGGGAAGUACUGGAGAGGUGCAUGCAUGCAUAUGGCCGAUGCGCAGGACAUCUUAAAAACGCAAACUGGCCUAUGGCGACCCAGGCGAGGAGAACAAGCAUGGAUGCGUACCGUUCAUACAAGGCAGCGCACAGAACCGACAAAGAUUCCACUUUGUUGCAGUACAGGGAGAUGCCACCCUUUCCCCUUUUUCUAUUCAUUUGUUAAUUAUACAUGGAGGCGGUCUGUGCUUUGGAUUGGUAGUUUGUUUUCCAUCUACUUUCCAUGUAUUACAAUUAAUGAUCUACACCUCUUCCGUACUAGCACGUGCAUGAUCAAAAGUGUCCUAAUUAUUUUGGCACUUGGAGCAUGCUUUCUUAUUAGCAGAUCAAUGGGCACUGUCGGUGCGGCACAGUCUACGCCAUGUAUUGAGACUUCAUCAAGGCAUCGGUGUAUCGCCUCGACACCGUCCCUCGAACUCUGACCUAUGUCGACGCCUCCGUAUUGAUGAUCCGACCUCGACGCUCAAGCUAUAUUCCUCUGAUUAUUUACUUCGCUUAAGUUAAUUAAGUAGAAGAGUUUUUUUAAUAAUGGAUAUAUUAUUAUUAUCAUUACUUGUUAGUACUUUUGUCCUGCACUAUUUUAUGUGUGCAGGUAAUCAACCUCGACUACGUCAUGCGGUCAAUUCUGUGGCCUAUGUUGUCGUCCUGCCUGCACCGAUCAAAUUGUGCCAUCGCCCCAACGCGCGUCCCUGUGUGAGCCAACUUCGACCGGUCUAUGUCGUCACCUCGGCGUGCCAACCUUUGCCAGCAUCGCCAUGCUGUCACUUCAUUGUCCGUCAAGCAGUGGGUGUGUGGAUUGAGUCUCAAUUUUGGAGAGUAACCUUUAUUUAGAUUGCUACAACAAACAAAUCAGGUGUUAUUAAUCCUAGUAAUUUUUCUUGCUUGGUUUUGUUUUUUCUGAGGAAGUAUUACUCUUGUUUGUUCCAUCAUUUGUACACAGGUCUGUCAAAUGAUGGCCGCAUUAACGAUGGUUGCGUGAUGGUUCGGUCAGUUUCCCGUCCACAGUUCGGCGAACGCCUCAUCGGGGACCUGGACCGUCCUGUGAAUUCAGGCUUUGUCAAGCCGGCGCCCCGUACCAACAUUGGCUUCGACGCCAGACCACAUCUCUUUAACAAUUUUUUUUGCGUAAAUUAAUUAUGCGAGGAUUUUUUGUAUAUUUAUAUUAUUAUUUUUUGGACUGCACUAUUCUACAUGUGUAGGUAAUUGACUUUGACCGCGUCACACGGUCACUUCGGCAAGCCAAUGUCGUCAUCCCAAUCGGUAAAUGAUCCGGGUUGGAUAGCCCUGUCACCUCGGCUGGACCGGGGGCUUUGCCAUCUCUACUCCGAGGACUCCGGCAUCAUCAGCCGACCAGCUUCGUCAGCUCGGCUGGACCGGGGCUCCCCAACACAUCAACCACGCUAUGUCGCCACUUCGUCAAGUCGAACUCUUUUCUUGAACACUUCGGAACCAGCUUGGGGGCUGGGACCUCGGCCAGGCCAAGGACUAUGUCUUUGUCCCACUAUAAGUCCGGACCCCAUAAUCAACACCGAGCACACUAACCAGCUAAGUCGCUUUCAUGCUCAAUUUGUUUUAAUGAUUAAAUUUUGUUCGGUCCGACCAAUCAUUAUACCUUUUUGGCAAAAAGUUAUUUGUGAAAAAUUUCCUUGUCAAAACUUUGUUUGUGGCACAAAAAUUCAAAUACACCAUUUACUCGGGGGCUUCCUUUAUGAA